GUCCCUGUAGCUCAAUAGGAUAGAGCGUCAGCUUGCGGAGCUGAAGGUUGAGAGUUCGAGUCUCUCCGGGGACG
rnacentral:tRNA from 1 species